rnacentral:rRNA from 1 species
CCUACGGGAGGCAGCAGUGGGGAAUAUUGCUCAAUGGGCGAAACCCUGAUGCAGCCACGCCGCGUGAAUGAAGAAGGCUUUCGGUUUGUAAAGCUCUUUCAGUAGGGAAGAAAAUGACGGUACCUGAUUCAUAAGCCACGGCUAACUCCGUGCCAGCAGCCGCGGUCAUACGGCGGGUGCAAGCGUUAUCCGGAUUUACUGGGUGUAAAGAGAGCGUAGACGGUUGAUUAAGUCAGGUGUGAAAUCCCGGGGCUUAACCCCGGAAUUGCAUUGGAAACUGUGCAGCUAGAGUGCAGUAGAGGUAAGUGGAAUUCGUGGUGUAGCGGUGAAAUGCGUAGAGAUGAGGAGGAAUACCGGUGGCGAAGGCGGCCUACUGGACUGUAACUGACGUUGAGGCUCGAAAGCGUGGGGAGCAAACAGGAUUAGAUACCCGAGUAGUC